AUUGAACGCUGGCGGCAGGCCUAACACAUGCAAGUCGAGCGAGCGGCGGACGGGUGAGUAAUGUCUGGGAAACUGCCUGAUGGAGGGGGAUAACUAUUGGCAACGGUAGCUAAUACCGCAUACUACCUGCUGUGCCCAGGUGGGCUUAGCUAGGAGGUGUGGUAAUGGCUUACCUAGGCGACGAUCCCUAGCCGGUCUGAGAGGAUGACCAGCCACACUGGAGCUGAGACACGGGCCAGACUCCUACGGGAGGCAGCGGUGGGGAAUAUUGCACAAUGGGCGCAAGCCUGCUGAGGCCAUGCCGCGUGUGUGAAGAAGGCCUUCGGGUUGUAAAGCACUUUCAGCGGGGAGGCGUUACCCGCAGAAGAAGCAACGGCUAACUCCGUGCCAGCAGCCGCGGUAAUAC
rnacentral:rRNA from 1 species